CAUCUUACCUGUUUAUAUUAGGGGUCAAUAUAAAUAUAUAGAUGUAGAUAA
rnacentral:tRNA from 1 species